GCCCAUUCCUCUUCUCUUGCCUGCUGGGAUGUGCUGACCAGUGGCUAACCACUCAGCGGUAAUCAGGUUAGAGAUGGAUGGUCAUCCUUUGGGCACCAUACAAACAAGCAAGUCUAGGUUACAAGAAAAGUUUAUUGGAAGCUCUGGGCUCAUCGGUGUGACUUUUUGCUUACAGGCUUUAAUGCUCCUCCAGUGUGAACUCAAGACAGUGUCUGCAAAGCUGCUAUACUCCGUAAUAAAGAUGGGACAAAAAGUUUGAGCUUACCUCAUGGCAUAUCUACUGGA